CGCCAAUGGCGUAGCCAGGCCCGUUCUGCCUGGGCGGCCGCCUCCCGCCUGGCAUAAAGUGCGAACCAGAUGCUUCUUGACAAGCAAGAUCCUGAACCCUCAGAGCCAUCCUCAUUUCUCCCUCCAGGUAUCCACAGGGAAAGCACAUCUCCCAAGUCCUUGAAGUCUCGGUGACACACAGCCAAGGGCUGUUCUAGGAAAGACAUGGUAAUUCAGCUCUUCUCUAUGGCUGCACCAUUAGACUAACAAGGAUGGCAACAUACUUUAUAUAAUCAAGGAAAAGAAUUAAGUUGGGAGUAAGCCCUGUAACAAUCAGGAAAGAGUUAACAAGCUCUAACAAAUAAGAUGACCUUCUCUACCACACAGGAUCCAGAAACUUGCAACAGAGGUAGAAGCUUGUAACAGAGGUAGAAUGAAUAUGGUACAGGUAAUGCAUUAAUGGUCUGUGCAGAAGGGCAGGCUGGUGUGACUGACCAGGGACUGACAAGAGUUGCC